rnacentral:rRNA from 1 species
UACGUAGGGUGCGAGCGUUGUCCGGAAUUACUGGGCGUAAAGAGCUCGUAGGUGGUUUGUCGCGUUGUUCGUGAAAACUCACAGCUCAACUGUGGGCGUGCGGGCGAUACGGGCAGACUGGAGUACUGCAGGGGAGACUGGAAUUCCUGGUGUAGCGGUGGAAUGCGCAGAUAUCAGGAGGAACACCGGUGGCGAAGGCGGUUCUCUGGGCCUUACCUGACACUGAGGAGCGAAAGCGUGGGGAGCGAACAGG